UUUAAUGUCAUUCUAAAGUUAAAACUGUGAAUGAAAAACUCCCAUCUUUCUCAAAACAACUUUCCUUGAAGACUUCUUGUCUUUCAUUCCUUUUUCACCCUAAAAGCUUGUUUCCUAAACUUGGGUUUAGUGUUUGGAGCUCCGAUGAUUUUACAGCCAAGACGGACCUCUUAAAUGUACCGCUUUAUAUCAUCUCUCUCAAACUUGUUUUCCUGGUACUGCUUCUAUCAUUUUCAACAGUAGUUGCUUUCUCUAACAUUCUUCUACCCUUUUCCUUCCAACUCUAUCUUGCACAAAACAAGAUUAAAUUUUUGUUGAUUUAAAAGCACAAGAGAGAAUAGGGAAUGAGAUGAUUUCUAGCUAAAUUGCCUUUUGUUUUUGCUAAUAACUAUUCACAUUCUCUAAGAACUAACAAUCGUUUAUUCAUGUUUUAACAUGGUACAUACCCUUCUUAUUAUUGUUGCAAGGGGUGUGAUUCUUUUCUUGGAAUAUAGGCAAGGAACACAAAGCUUGAGCGGAGGUUUGCUAUUGAACAUGUUGACCCGUAAUUCUUGUACAUCCCUUUUACCAAGUUUGUCAUUGAAAAUUAUUCAAAAAGUAAAGAAGCAUCAAUAAGCACUCAUACCAUGGAGAUCAAAUUUUCAAUGGAUUGGAAGCUGAUUGUGUUAUUUUGGGAUACAUGGGCAAGGAUUGUUGGAAAUGUUUCAUGGAGUCCCAAUGGGAUGGCCGACUCUUUUGAUCAGAAACGUUUUAUGCAGCUCUUUUUCCAUGACUUGCUCUCUAUCUCUUCAUGGUUUUCCUUUGGUUACUGAUUUUAUUAAUAAAAUUUCUCUUUGUGGAGAUUCAACACAACUGUGAAAAUAUUAUAUUACUUUUAGUAAUCUUUUUCAAACUUAGUAUAUCAUUGUAUACAUUAAGUUAGGAAAAGAUGAGAUAUAUUUCGAUCAUACAUUAAAGCUUUUACAAUUGAAAAGAAAAAUGCCAAUAUAACAUGUGCACACACAUGAAGUGAGAUUAACUUCGACAUUUAUACGUUGAUUUUUUUUUUUAAGAAAAUAUAUCAAUAUUCAAACACCAGAGUUUUAAAAAAGUAGACACAUGGUGGCAUGAAGAUACUAAGACGCGUGCAUUUCUCAUGCAAACUAUAUUGUCUCCAUGCAAACUUGUUGUUUUGACCUGAAAAUACGACGACACUUGG
rnacentral:lncRNA from 1 species